UUUUAAUUUUGUAGGAGUUUGCUUUGCUCUUUUUCUCUGCCAAACUAGUUAAUUAGGAGACUCAUUGUGGAGCAAUAAUUACAAGAAAAUGCCAUGCUCUGAAGAAACUCUCUUCUGGUUGUUCUACAAUGUCUCAAGCUCUUCCCUUCUCCUCCUCCUCUUUGUCUACUUCUCCUCCACUUUGCUGCUCAAGCUCCUCAACUUCAUUGGUAGCUACCCAAUAAUCCUAAGAAAUCAAAAUGGGUAUGAGUAUAAUUUCUCUGACGAGGAGGAAGAAGUAGAUACUGAAACGUACUACUACACCGAUCCUAGGGAAAAGGAUCACCUUGUGGCUGAUAUAGUUCUUGGUGGUGAAUCGCUUGUGUUUUUGUCUAACACGAGCAUUACUCAAAGAACCCAAAAUCAUGUUCAAGAAUUUGUAAACCAACGACAGUCCCUAAAAGGCGAAGAUAAUGAUGAUGAAACUUCUGCUAGUGAUGAUGAAAAGUUUUCUGUUCUUGCCUCAGCAGGUUCAGAAUCCAAAUAUGAUGAUGCUGAUCCUGUGGUUAAAGAAGAAGAAGAAGAAGACAUGACAACGAGAGAUGCUGAUUCAGUUUUUGAUUCUGCUCCGGAUCAUGGCGGCCCCACCACACCGAUCACCACAUACCGACAGAAAAAUGGUUUGAUGGACAGUGACAAAAACUAUGGUGGUAUUUGCAUCAUAAUAUGCUUCCCUCUAAUUGAAUUUGUUACGAUCUAUUCACGUGUUGUACUUCUAGUACUUGUGUUGUUAUUAUUCGUUCCUGAUAUUGCUUAUGCUAUAACUUGCAGAAGAUUACAUUAAUCAAGGAAUAGAAAAUAAGAAGAUGGAUACGAAUUUCCAUGGGGAUGAGAAGUUUUUUGUUUUUGCUCCAACCCAGUUCGAGACCAAGAAACUUCAAGUUCAAGAAAAGGAUGAUGAGGAGAUAUUUGGUGACUCAUGCACUGUGGGUUCUACAUCUAAGAGCUCCUCUGAAUGGAGAAGCUCAAUUAAGGAUUCAGGGACUGAAGAUCCAUUUUCUUCUUCUUCAAGAAGAAGUUGCCCCAAGUGGGAAUCCUACACAGUGUUCCAAAAAUAUGAUGAAGAGAUGACGUUCCUAGAUAGAGUUAGUGCUCAAAAGCUUCAUGAAACAGAGUCACUUAAGUCAAUUCAAGUGAACCCAAGAUCAAUUUCAGAUAGGAUUGUUCAUAAGAUUGCAACUAUGAACAAGAAGAAGCCUUCAGAUAUCCGCCAUAACCCGUAUCAUGAACUGGAAGCUGCAUAUGUUGCUCAGAUUUGCUUGACAUGGGAAGCUCUCAAUUGGAACUACAAGAACUUCAAUUCUAAGAGAGCGUCGCAGCGAGAUUUUGAUCGUGGUUGUCCAGGGCAUAUCGCACAGCAGUUUCAGCAAUUCCAAGUUCUUUUACAGCGUUAUGUAGAAAAUGAGCCUUAUGAGCAAGGCAGGAGACCUGAGGUGUAUGCCAGGGUGAGACUUUUGGCUCCAAAGUUACUUCUAGUUCCAGAAUACCGAGGUACGCAAAUUAUAUACUAGGUUAAUCCUAUUUUCAGAUCUUGAAAACUAGGUUAUUAAUUUCUUAAUCCUUCAUUUGGAUCCUCUGCAGAAUGAUGUAGAAAUUAAUUUGGAUCCAUCUGUCAUACUUUUAAGAUUGUGAACAGAGAGCACUAGUAUUAUUCUACCAUUUUCAUUAGCUUUUCUUGAUUCUUUCCAAGCUCUAAGUGGAGGGCCCUUAUUUCUUUAUUGGCUUCUUUUCCAAGGAAGGGGAAGGGAAGGCAGGUCUCUCUACAUACAUUACAAAGCAAACACUCAAUUACUGUACUUUUGACACCUUUCAAACUCCUGGGGAAUUGCAUCCUUGUCCUUCCUUUGUGUUUCUUGAAUUAUUAAUUGCUUGUCAUUUAUUUUUAUUUGAAUUCCUGCUUUUCAUUCUUUUUUUAUUUGCUUACUUAUAAACAUGACUAAAGAUUCAGAAGAUGAUACAAAUGAGGAAGGUUUUGGCUCUAGAAUUUCAUCAGCUGCAUUUCUCAUGAUAAUGGAAGAUGGAAUCAAAACGUUCAUGGAUUUUCUCAAGCUUGAUAAGCAGAAACCGUGCCAGAUUCUAUCAUCUUUCUUAAGACGAAACCGAAGAGGAUCAGUCGAUCCCGCUCUUCUCCAACUAAUGAAGAAGGUAAACAAAAAGAAGAAAAUGAAGCUUAAAGCUACAGAUUGUAUUUGUACAACUACUUCCAGAUGCAAAUACACCCCAGAAACGUGUUGAUGCCUGA
rnacentral:misc_RNA from 1 species